AAUAAGAAAUUACAUUAACAUGAGUGAAAGAAAUCAUCAUUACAAGAAGGGAUUAGAUGUGUUUCCACCCUUGAAUCCUUGCUUGAAUGCCUCUUUGAUCCUCUGAAAUAGCCGUCAAAAAUCAGUUCUCGAUCCAAUAUUUCGUAUCCCUAAAAUGAGAAACUGUUUUCAAUUUAUAGUGCAGAAUUCGUGCCAAGCCAGGCUUGGCUCUGCCCAAGCUGGGCGCAGAAGGCAGAGAGCAAUUCUUCAAUUUUCAAGCUGGGCUCAGCUGCCCCUAAGCUGGGCGCAGAAGGCAGAAGCUAGGCAAUUUUUCAUCUUUUCUUGUUAUCAUGCUAUCUCAUAUUUCAUGCAAUUUCUUCUUAUUUAAUUGCUAAAAACAUGGUAUAAACCUACUUGUUUGCUUGCAUUUGCUAAAAAAAAACAUAGUAAUGACAUGAAGUCAUCACAACCCCAAACUUGAACUUUUCCUUGUCCUCAAGGAAUAUCUUCAUCCAUCGGAAAACCUGGCACUAUCAAACAGUCUAAUUCAAAGCCAUCAAAGUCAGUCAAGUUAGAACAUCACAAUUAUCAUUUCAAUGAUCAUCCCUAUCAUGAAUUUACUUGCACACAAAUUAAUACCGAAAAAUCAAGAACUUUUCACAAAUAUUGACCAAACCAUAAUCACUUCACUCCCUCACAUUCUCUCCUGUUUAAAUUGGUAUAUUCACUCAAUCAACACAAACAUAGCCAUUCUACCAUAAGCUUGCAAACAUUCUAACAAUCGAUCAACAUGCAUAAGAGUUCACACUUUAAGAGGACUUGAGGGUUAUAACGGGGCUAAGGUUUUAGGGUGGAUAUUUUUG
rnacentral:lncRNA from 1 species